rnacentral:snRNA from 1 species
ACCGUUUCUUCCCUUUUUGGCUAAGAUCAAGUGUAGUAUCUGUUCUUAUCAAUUUAAUGUCUAAUAUAUCCUGUACCCCAAUAUCAUAUGUUAAACGGAGUUUUUGGAACACAGAGAUAGAUGCAUGCUGUACCCCAG